UUAGUCAUUUAGCUUAAGCUUUAUAAUUAGUACAGUAGUUUAAAAAGCUAAGUUGUAAUUCAUUUUUGUAAUAAUACACUACUUUCGUUUUCUCUCUCCUCUCUUUCUCUCUUCCUUCCACGAUACUGAUUGAAGCAAGCUACUUCCAUGGCUUCUCUUCACUUCCUCCAUGACUUUCUUCCACCAUAAACGUUUAUUUUAACAUGGUAUCAGAGCGGGAACGAUCCUAGUUCCAUUUUUCGCACAAUUUUGUUCAAUUAAAAUCCCCAAAUUUCUAGGGUUCUUCAAAUUUUUCACUCUUUAUUGUUCGAAUUUGAACAAUUAGUCACAAAUUGUAUAAGGGAUGCUUGUUUGACCUUCUGUAUUUGUGAGAUUUCGACCAAUUUCUGGCAAAUUUGAUCAAUUUUUGGUGGUUUUAUGGAUGUUUCGUUCUUGAAGUUUUUUCGAUCGAAUUACGGGUUUGCAAGUUUAGGUUAUUAGAACUUCAUUCUGAUUGGUUUGAAGAAUUUAGAUCGCUCAGAUUUCGCUCAAAUUUCUGGGAUUAGAAAUUGGAUUGAAGUCUCUGGGUUUUGCCGCCCAAAUUACAGUGAAGCAAUCAGUGAAGUUUAGUUUCUGGGUUCUUUGUUCUCAUUGUUGGGUUUUUCGAUAUUCUUGUUGGUGAAGUUCGUAGCCACCGCCGUCGUUGCUGUCAAGAUUGCUGUUGGUGUUUGCCCUUUCUUUUCUUCGGUGGUGAUUGAAGGAAGUUGGGUGUGUUCUGGUUCAAUAUUACUUCCCAUAUUCUUGAUUGACUUGAGGAUUUCUGCUUAAUUCUGGAGGAUGAUGAGCUGUUCAAGAAACUCGGUCAAGGAAGUUGAUGAAUGAAGGGGCUAAAGAAAUUAUCAAGAAUAUGUUGGAUUCACUUUUUAUAAAAUAAGACAGUUGUUGGUUAUGGUUGGUUGUAAAUUAUUUAUAUAAGCUCAUAUAUACAGUACUUGUAAAUUGUGUAAACAAUUUUCUUGUAUACUUGUAAAUUUUAAUAAUAAGUUUAUAUAUAAUUUAUUCUUAUUAUACUA